rnacentral:rRNA from 2 species
ACUAAGCGUACACGGUGGAUGCCCUGGCAGUCAGAGGCGAUGAAGGACGUGCUAAUCUGCGAUAAGCGUCGGUAAGGUGAUAUGAACCGUUAUAACCGGCGAUUUCCGAAUGGGGAAACCCAGUGUGUUUCGACACACUAUCAUUAACUGAAUCCAUAGGUUAAUGAGGCGAACCGGGGGAACUGAAACAUCUAAGUACCCCGAGGAAAAGAAAUCAACCGAGAUUCCCCCAGUAGCGGCGAGCGAACGGGGAGCAGCCCAGAGCCUGAAUCAGUGUGUGUGUUAGUGGAAGCGUCUGGAAAGGCGCGCGAUACAGGGUGACAGCCCCGUACACAAAAAUGCACAUGCUGUGAGCUCGAUGAGUAGGGCGGGACACGUGGUAUCCUGUCUGAAUAUGGGGGGACCAUCCUCCAAGGCUAAAUACUCCUGACUGACCGAUAGUGAACCAGUACCGUGAGGGAAAGGCGAAAAGAACCCCGGCGAGGGGAGUGAAAAAGAACCUGAAACCGUGUACGUACAAGCAGUGGGAGCCUCUUUUAUGGGGUGACUGCGUACCUUUUGUAUAAUGGGUCAGCGACUUAUAUUCUGUAGCAAGGUUAACCGAAUAGGGGAGCCGAAGGGAAACCGAGUCUUAACUGGGCGUUAAGUUGCAGGGUAUAGACCCGAAACCCGGUGAUCUAGCCAUGGGCAGGUUGAAGGUUGGGUAACACUAACUGGAGGACCGAACCGACUAAUGUUGAAAAAUUAGCGGAUGACUUGUGGCUGGGGGUGAAAGGCCAAUCAAACCGGGAGAUAGCUGGUUCUCCCCGAAAGCUAUUUAGGUAGCGCCUCGUGAAUUCAUCUCCGGGGGUAGAGCACUGUUUCGGCAAGGGGGUCAUCCCGACUUACCAACCCGAUGCAAACUGCGAAUACCGGAGAAUGUUAUCACGGGAGACACACGGCGGGUGCUAACGUCCGUCGUGAAGAGGGAAACAACCCAGACCGCCAGCUAAGGUCCCAAAGUCAUGGUUAAGUGGGAAACGAUGUGGGAAGGCCCAGACAGCCAGGAUGUUGGCUUAGAAGCAGCCAUCAUUUAAAGAAAGCGUAAUAGCUCACUGGUCGAGUCGGCCUGCGCGGAAGAUGUAACGGGGCUAAACCAUGCACCGAAGCUGCGGCAGCGACGCUUAUGCGUUGUUGGGUAGGGGAGCGUUCUGUAAGCCUGUGAAGGUGUGCUGUGAGGCAUGCUGGAGGUAUCAGAAGUGCGAAUGCUGACAUAAGUAACGAUAAAGCGGGUGAAAAGCCCGCUCGCCGGAAGACCAAGGGUUCCUGUCCAACGUUAAUCGGGGCAGGGUGAGUCGACCCCUAAGGCGAGGCCGAAAGGCGUAGUCGAUGGGAAACAGGUUAAUAUUCCUGUACUUGGUGUUACUGCGAAGGGGGGACGGAGAAGGCUAUGUUGGCCGGGCGACGGUUGUCCCGGUUUAAGCGUGUAGGCUGGUUUUCCAGGCAAAUCCGGAAAAUCAAGGCUGAGGCGUGAUGACGAGGCACUACGGUGCUGAAGCAACAAAUGCCCUGCUUCCAGGAAAAGCCUCUAAGCAUCAGGUAACAUCAAAUCGUACCCCAAACCGACACAGGUGGUCAGGUAGAGAAUACCAAGGCGCUUGAGAGAACUCGGGUGAAGGAACUAGGCAAAAUGGUGCCGUAACUUCGGGAGAAGGCACGCUGAUAUGUAGGUGAAGCGACUUGCUCGUGGAGCUGAAAUCAGUCGAAGAUACCAGCUGGCUGCAACUGUUUAUUAAAAACACAGCACUGUGCAAACACGAAAGUGGACGUAUACGGUGUGACGCCUGCCCGGUGCCGGAAGGUUAAUUGAUGGGGUCAGCGCAAGCGAAGCUCUUGAUCGAAGCCCCGGUAAACGGCGGCCGUAACUAUAACGGUCCUAAGGUAGCGAAAUUCCUUGUCGGGUAAGUUCCGACCUGCACGAAUGGCGUAAUGAUGGCCAGGCUGUCUCCACCCGAGACUCAGUGAAAUUGAACUCGCUGUGAAGAUGCAGUGUACCCGCGGCAAGACGGAAAGACCCCGUGAACCUUUACUAUAGCUUGACACUGAACAUUGAGCCUUGAUGUGUAGGAUAGGUGGGAGGCUUUGAAGUGUGGACGCCAGUCUGCAUGGAGCCGACCUUGAAAUACCACCCUUUAAUGUUUGAUGUUCUAACGUUGACCCGUAAUCCGGGUUGCGGACAGUGUCUGGUGGGUAGUUUGACUGGGGCGGUCUCCUCCUAAAGAGUAACGGAGGAGCACGAAGGUUGGCUAAUCCUGGUCGGACAUCAGGAGGUUAGUGCAAUGGCAUAAGCCAGCUUGACUGCGAGCGUGACGGCGCGAGCAGGUGCGAAAGCAGGUCAUAGUGAUCCGGUGGUUCUGAAUGGAAGGGCCAUCGCUCAACGGAUAAAAGGUACUCCGGGGAUAACAGGCUGAUACCGCCCAAGAGUUCAUAUCGACGGCGGUGUUUGGCACCUCGAUGUCGGCUCAUCACAUCCUGGGGCUGAAGUAGGUCCCAAGGGUAUGGCUGUUCGCCAUUUAAAGUGGUACGCGAGCUGGGUUUAGAACGUCGUGAGACAGUUCGGUCCCUAUCUGCCGUGGGCGCUGGAGAACUGAGGGGGGCUGCUCCUAGUACGAGAGGACCGGAGUGGACGCAUCACUGGUGUUCGGGUUGUCAUGCCAAUGGCACUGCCCGGUAGCUAAAUGCGGAAGAGAUAAGUGCUGAAAGCAUCUAAGCACGAAACUUGCCCCGAGAUGAGUUCUCCCUGACUCCUUGAGAGUCCUGAAGGAACGUUGAAGACGACGACGUUGAUAGGCCGGGUGUGUAAGCGCAGCGAUGCGUUGAGCUAACCGGUACUAAUGAACCGUGAGGCUUAACC